GCCCACAUCAUACCCCGAAAGGAUGGAAGUUCCAGCCUCCCCAUAUGACCGAAAGAAGAGAGUCGACCAACUAACACUUGCACGCCAAUCUCCUGCCUCCACCUCUUUUCCGCCCGGAGACUUCUCUCUCCGGUCACCGACGGUUAUUCAGUUACGGUAACUAUAUUUUACUCCUCUGCUAAUAGUCACUACUCAAAUUUUGAGGACUAGGGUUCUGUUUCUGAUCAGACACUUCGUGGAGCUCCACAUCAGUUCAGAGUCCAUUAAUGACCAAGCCAAAGCUCCCAGCGUAUUGAAAAAGGAGCUCCUACUUUUGAUUUUGAAACGGAAGCCAUGUCGUUUCCGAGGCGCAGAAAGGCCCCAAAUACUCAAAAGUCUGAGCCUCACGAAAUUGACGGAGAAAACGAGGAUGACAAGAAGAGGAACCCGAAGACGAAUCUCAGAAAGGACAAGAGAUGGUCUUGCAUGGACAGCUGUUGCUGGUUCAUUGGGUGCAUAUGUUCGAUUUGGUGGUUCUUUCUGUUCUUGUACAACGCAAUGCCAGCGUCGUUUCCCCAGUACGUGACGGAGGCGAUAACGGGGCCGUUACCGGACCAUCCCGGCGUGAAGUUGCUAAAAGAGGGCUUGAAGGUGAAGCACCCGGUGGUGUUCGUCCCUGGAAUCGUUACCGGCGGGCUUGAGUUGUGGGAGGGGCACCAGUGCGCUGAGGGCUUGUUUAGGAAGAGGCUUUGGGGUGGGUCAUUCGGGGAAUUGUACAAAAGACCAUUAUGCUGGGUUGAGCACAUAUCACUGGAUAAUGAAACUGGACUGGACCCAUCUGGAAUCAGGCUCAGACCUGUAUCUGGACUUGUCGCAGCUGAUUACUUUGCAGCUGGUUAUUUUGUCUGGGCUGUCUUAAUUGCCAAUUUGGCUCGCAUUGGAUAUGAGGAGAAAACAAUGUAUAUGGCUGCAUAUGACUGGAGAUUAUCAUUUCAAAACACUGAGGUCAGAGACCAAACUCUAAGCAGGAUAAAAAGUAAUAUAGAACUCAUGGUAGCUACAAAUGGUGGAAAAAAGGUGGUUGUUAUACCACAUUCAAUGGGUGUUCUGUACUUUCUGCAUUUCAUGAAAUGGGUUGAGGCACCAGCUCCAAUGGGUGGUGGUGGCGGGUUGGAUUGGUGCACGAAGCAUAUAAAAGCAGUAAUGAACAUUGGUGCACCCUUUCUAGGUGUUCCAAAAGCAGUUGCAGGACUUUUCUCUAUGGAAGCCAAGGAUGUUGCUAUUGCCAGGGCUUUCGCGCCGGGUGUUUUGGAUAAGGAUGUUUUUGGUCUUCAAACUUUUCAACAUAUGAUGCGGAUGACCCGCACGUGGGAUUCAACCAUGUCAAUGAUACCAAAAGGCGGGGAUACUAUUUGGGGUGGUCUUGAUUGGUCACCUGAAGGGGACUUUGACUGUAGUGCAAAGAAGCUCAAGAAUAAUGAUACCCAAACUGCAGACCAAAGUGGGAAGGGGACUCUGGGUACUACAAAAAGAGUAAAUUAUGGGAGGAUCAUAUCAUUUGGGAAAGAUGUAUCUGACAUACAUUCCUUUGAGAUUAAAAGAGUGGAUUUCCAGCAGGGUGCUGUCAAGGGUAAUAACCUUAUAAAUACAACCAAGUGUGAUGCAUGGACAGAGUACCAGGAAAUGGGUAUCGAGGGUGUCAAAGCUGUUGCAGAUUACAAAGUUUACACAGCUGGAUCGAUUUUGGAUCUGCUUCAUUAUGUUGCCCCCAAGUUAAUGGCGCGUGGUGAUGCUCAUUUUUCACAUGGAAUUGCAGACAAUUUGGAUGACCCUAAAUAUGAACAUCACAAAUAUUGGUCAAACCCGUUAGAAACAAAAUUACCAAAUGCUCCAGACAUGGAAAUCUAUACUAUGUAUGGUGUUGGAGUCCCCACAGAAAGAGCAUAUGUGUACAAAUUAACUCCUGCUGCAGAAUGCUACAUUCCCUUUCAGAUAGAUGCGUCAGCAGAGGGUGGAAGUGAGAAUCCUUGUCUAAAAGGUGGGGUGUUUUCUGUUGAUGGGGAUGAAACCGUUCCCAUUUUAAGUGCAGGUUUUAUGUGUGCAAAAGGUUGGCGGGGAACAACUCGUUUCAAUCCUUCAGGCAUUCGUACUUACAUAAGGGAGUAUGAUCAUGCCCCUCCAGCUAAUCUUCUAGAGGGCCGUGGCACCCAAAGUGGUGCUCAUGUUGAUAUAAUGGGUAAUUUUGCAUUGAUUGAAGAUGUUAUAAGAGUUGCAGCAGGGGCUACUGGAGAGGACUUAGGUGGGGAUCGAGUUUACUCUGACAUUUACAAAUGGUCCGAAAAGAUCAAACUACAACUCUAGAUUCACAUGGUUGGUAUCUGAAGCUUAUUGAUAAAAUUUCCUUCAAUGUUUAAACUUAAAGCAAUAUGUUGUUGGAAAAACUUUAAUUGAUGCUCAACCUUUGGAGAUCAACUAGAGCCAGCAAUCAUGCUUGACUAGCAUUGUUGCUUUCAUGCGUAAAGGCACCCCCGGUGAAACUAUCACCCAGCAAUGGUGGCGGUGGUGAUUCCAGAGUGCAGUGUUAUACUCAAAAUUGAAGCCCAAGGGGUGAAGUGCUGGUUGCUAAAGCAACUGCGUUCAGAUUUAUGCAGUAUUUGUGGCCUUUAUGUAUUACAUGGGGCUUAAUAGGUGCCUUACAAAUUUUGAAUAUACAUUUAAUUCAGUUGACUAUUGACAACAAAACUUCUAACCAAUUAGUCUAUGUGUUUCAUUGCAA